AGAGUUCGAUUCUGGCUCAGGAUGAACGCUGGCGGCGUGUCUAACACAUGCAAGUCGAACGGGGUACCCUGAAACGAGGCUUCGGCCAAGCGGAAGGACUACCUAGUGGCGGACGGGUGAGUAACGCGUGAGCAACCUGCCUUUCAGAGGGGGAUAACGGCUGGAAACGGCCGCUAAUACCGCAUAACGCAUAGCUGGGGCAUCCCGGCAAUGCCAAAGAUUUAUCGCUGAAAGAUGGGCUCGCGUCUGAUUAGCUAGUUGGUGAGGUAACGGCCCACCAAGGCGACGAUCAGUAGCCGGACUGAGAGGUUGAACGGCCACAUUGGGACUGAGAUACGGCCCAG
rnacentral:rRNA from 1 species